GACCCAGACUCCUACGGGAGGCAGCAGUGGGGAAUAUUGCGCAAUGGGCGAAAGCCUGACGCAGCGACGCCGCGUGAGGGAUGAAGGUCUUCGGAUCGUAAACCUCUGUCAGCAGGGAAGAACGGUCACUGUGCUAAUCAGCAGUGAAUUGACGGUACCUGAGUAAGAAGCCCCGGCUAACUACGUGCCAGCAGCCGCGGUAAUACGUAGGGGGCAAGCGUUAUCCGGAUUUACUGGGUGUAAAGGGAGCGUAGACGGCGAUACAAGUCUGAAGUGAAAGCCCGGGGCUCAACCCCGGGACUGCUUUGGAAACUGUGUUGCUGGAGUGCUGGAGAGGCAAGCGGAAUUCCUAGUGUAGCGGUGAAAUGCGUAGAUAUUAGGAAGAACACCAGUGGCGAAGGCGGCUUGCUGGACAGUAACUGACGUUGAGGCUCGAAAGCGUGGGGAGCAAACAGGAUUAGAUACCCGUGUA
rnacentral:rRNA from 1 species